UUUUAUUUUUUUUUUUUUUUAAGACUUACUGUUAUUUCAGGAAAAAAAUUGAAAGCUGAUCUUUCACUUCAUUCAGCUGGUAAGCAGAAGAAAGAAAUCAACACGAAAAGGUACUUUUCAUUUUGCAAAAGGGAAGAAAGACAAAGAUACAUUGUAUAAUUACAGAUACAAACAUAUCAGCAGAAGUAGUAGUAUACAAAAUGAACAGCCCUCAUCUUCUGGACGAUAGGAAGCCAGAGUUGGCUUUCUGUAGAUCCAGGCAUUUUCUAUGGAAACAAAAAUGACUGACACCAAACACCUUAUGCCAUGAAUGACUAAGUCUUUAUUGAGAAAAGUGUUUUAAAACAUACAGAAAGGUACCUCAAAAUUAACCAUUAAUUUAUCCAAACAAAAAUGAUCCAGAUGUUUUGCUUAGUUUCGACUAAAUCCACUUGCCCUGUACCAGUAUUUCAAAAGAAUUGCAUCUCUCCUCAGUACUCAUCAGUCCUCAUGUAAGAACAAACACCACGUACCUCAGCUAAGCUCGUGCAUUACUUUAAGCAAUGUAUUUUGACAUAGGAUGGUUCGCUGAGCACCUCUGUGCCAGUGACAGUUUUCCAUCUUUUCAUUCAAAGCAGCACUUUUAGCACCAGAUGCAAUAUUACUCCACUAUUCAAUGCUACCUCUGAUUUUUACAAAUAACUCAACAGACUGAUAAAUACAUGCUGCUAUAUACAUUCAAUGCAGGAAUUUUUUACUGGGUAGAUAAUCAUGAGUAUCUGCAUUUUCUCCUUAUUUCUACUUCAACACUUAAUGGCAGUUAAGGAAGCAAUAUCUUUAUUGUGUUUUGGCAUGACUAUGUAUUUUUCUUUCUCUUGGUUUGUUUUUUUGUUUUGGUUUGGUUUGGUUUUUUUAAUGUACUUACCCUAUUCUCUGCUAGACUUCUGUGUAAUGUACUGUUAACUUGAAUAUAUUUUUGUACUGAAUUGCUGAUAGGUUUGUGAGGAUAAUUUUCAAUGACACUACAUGACAUAGAAAAAAAUUUAGCUGUAAUGUUUAAAUAUUACUGUCCAAGUUUGUACCUCGAAUUGUUUAAAGAAAUGGACUAAUUGAUUGACAAAGACCUACCUCCAGACUUUAAAUGGAAUGAACUUGUUACUUUCAGCAUUAGUUUUGAGACGUUUGAAACAGUUAGGACUGCAACUAAUCCCUAAUUGAAAACUAUUUUUGUAAAAUAACUUGCGGAAAAUGAACACAUUUUAAAUUACUUUCGUAUUAAAAAAAAAAAAAAAAGAACAAAAAAAAAAACCCUUCAAAGAAACUUGAAGCUUUGUAGGUGGGAAGCAACAAGCUCAGCUUUUGCAUAAUGCAAUCACAAAUAUGUGUUUAAAAAAAAAUAAGUUAGUAGAUUGUAAGAAAAUACUUGACAAGUAUUUUCGUGUAUUUUACACAAAUGUGAUUUUGUAAUAUGUUUCAGCCAGAUUUAUUUUAAAUGCUUCUUAUGUAGAGGUUUUUUUGUUCUCCUCUCUCUCACUUUUGUUGUUCCUUCUCUUUCUCUCCUCCUAUUUCGCUUUCUGUGGUUCUGUUUUAUUUCCCUUCUUCCUCUCUUUCCUAGUCAGUACUUUUUACCAUUGUAUUAAUAACUGGGCCAGGGGUAGUUUCUCAGGAAGACGUCUGUUAGUAUGGCUUUAGUACCGAGCCAAAUGCAGUUGAAGAUAACUACUUACUGGCUUCUUCCAAGAGGCAGUGUCAAGAAAUACGGACCUCCUUGAAUGCCCACAGAGGGUUCAGUGGCGGAAAUCGCUGAGAAAGAGCUGAUCGGAGUAUUACAACUAGACACAUUAAUACUGAGUGAAAGAGAAAUAAUCC
ensembl:lncRNA